AUGUUUGCGGGCAGCCUGAGAGAAGAUGGGAGGCUCUUGCUCAGAGGGAGGACUGACUUCAGACAGCCCUUUGAGGAGUCUGGCACCUGCAUCUCCACCCCACCUGGAGGCUCCCGCUCAGAGGGAGGACUGACUUCAGGCAGGGAGCUCUCCCAGGAACCUGCUCUUUCUUUUGUCUCUGCCAGCUCAUCCAGCACAAGGUAG
rnacentral:lncRNA from 1 species